rnacentral:tRNA from 1 species
GCCCCGGUAGCUCAGACUGGUGGAGCGUCGGCCUUGUAAGGCCCUAGAGAGGGGGGUUCGAGGGAGCCGAAGGUCCCGGGUUCAAAUCCCGGCCGGGGCU